GCUGGUGUGGCUCAAUGGCAGAGCAGCUCAUUCGUAAUGAGCAGGUCGCGGGUUCGAAUCCCAUCAGUAGCUCCA
rnacentral:tRNA from 1 species